rnacentral:rRNA from 1 species
GAUGAACGCUGGCGGCGUGCCUAAAACAUGCAAGUCGUGCGGCAGCGGGCCUUCGGGUGCCGGCGAGCGGCGGACGGGUGAGUAACGCGUAGGAACGUACCCCAAAGUGAGGGAUAAGCUCCGGAAACGGAGUCUAAUACCGCAUAUGCUCUUGGGAGUAAAGGAGUAAUCCGCUCUGGGAGCGGCCUGCGUCCGAUUAGUUUGUUGGUGAGGUAAUGGCUUACCAAGACGAUGAUCGGUAGCUGGUUUGAGAGGAUGAUCAGCCACACUGGGACUGAGACACGGCCCAGACUCCUACGGGAGGCAGCAGUUAGGAAUUUUCCACAAUGGGGGCAACCCUGAUGGAGCAACGCCGCGUGCAGGAAGACGGCCUUCGGGUUGUAAACUGCUUUUAAAAGUGAAGAUUAUGACGGUAACUUUAGAAUAAGGAUCGGCUAACUCCGUGCCAGCCGCCGCGGUAA